AGCGAACGCUGGCGGCAGGCCUAACACAUGCAAGUCGAGCGCCGUAGCAAUACGGAGCGGCAGACGGGAGAGUAACACGUGGGAACGUGCCCUUCAGUUCGGAACAACCCAGGGAAACUUGGGCUAAUACCGGAUACGUCCGUAAGGAGAAAGAUUUAUCGCUGAAGGAUCGGCCCGCGUCUGAUUAGCUAGUUGGUGGGGUAACGGCCCACCAAGGCGACGAUCAGUGGCUGGUCUGAGAGGAUGAUCAGCCUCACUGGGACUGAGACACGGCCCAGACUCCUACGGGAGGCAGCAGUGGGGAAUAUUGGACAAUGGGCGCAAGCCUGAUCCAGCCAUGCCGCGUGGGUGAUGAAGGCCCUAGGGUUGUAAAGCCCUUUCGGCGGGGAAGAUAAUGACGGUACCCGCAGAAGAAGCCCCGGCUAACUUCGUGCCAGCCGCCGCCGUAAGAC
rnacentral:rRNA from 1 species